CACUAACAGUAAACUUACCUUUUUACCCGCUUACCAGUAUAUCUGGGGGUCCAUAGGGAUCCUCUCUACGCGGGGACCCAAUAUCCAAUUUAUCAAUUAAUCAGUUGUUCCCAUACCCAGUCUGGUAAUUGAUGCCAAAUAUACCACCAUCUCAAUACCUCGUCCAGUAUGAGGGUCAUCUAUACCUCCAACCCCCUUUUAGUAUGGGAUUUCUCAGUCCCGUUCGACUGAGGUAAUGUCCACGGUAUGAUUUUUACUAUGCACCAAGUCCGUACACCCUUUUCCAGGGUACCCGAUGAGCCUUUUACACAUAUAUCCAUAUCACCAACCAAUCGCCAAUUACAUACCAAUAUUUCAUAUUUACAUAUCAACAGUAAGCUAUGCAAAUAGACAUUACGU
rnacentral:lncRNA from 1 species